GGAGUCUGGAAGAAAAGACAUACAUGAAGAAUUUAGCAUUUUCCUACCAGUUCUGUUAUGCAGCAAAAACUAGUUACUUGUAGAAGGAGCAUGAUUUCAGUAACCAUAAUACUAGUUCGACAAUCUCCACAACAUCAGAACAAAUUCCCUUUACCAUCUCUACCGUGUAACGAGGAAGCCCCUGUGAGAGCAGGAUUCCUUGGGAGAGUAGUGGGGUUGAUAUCGACAAGUAGGCAUGAUGUGGAUCUGAUGCUAAAGACUGUUGGCAUUAGUAGACAACUGUAAGCAGAUUUUUUUUUGCCAAAUUUCCUUAAAAUUUAAGAAACACAAUGUAUGCUUUUUUCACCUCUAAAAUAUGAACCUUUGGUUUCUUUUUCUUUUAUAGCAAGUUAAUAUGCACAUUUUCUUUCAUUCACAUUAGUUCUUCAAAAUUUAAUUCUUAGCAAACUUGGUCUUGCCACUGCUUUCUCCACUUUAUUCGUGAUGGGUUCUUCCUAAUUCUCAUAAUCGAAGUAGUUAUAGCACACAAUAAUUACCUGAAUCUGAUGUUUACAUGAACUUUGUUUAUGAUGCAUGAUAAGAAAUCUCUCUUGAGGCCGUGUGAUGAUAUGAUUACUGGAGCUAAUUUGUUCAGUGUAAAUAUAAAAGUAUAAAAUUAAAAUUUGGAACCCAUAGAAAGUUCAGGGUAUUUGAAAGUUUCAGCAUAUUGCGAAGUUUUUACCUGAAUGUGGUAAUCCACAGACCCAAAUUCAUGCAAGUGAUGAUCAAGCUCCAUUGGUCUUUCAGCACUGUCAUUGAAGAAGAAACGGUGAUUACAAAAAUUAUUAUUUUUAUUUUGUUGAAUAUUCAUGCAGUCUACCUUACACCUCUUUGGUUGCUUUGAAAUGGAGAGAAGAUUUAAUAAAUAAAAAAAAGUUCAAUAUUACACAAUCCAUUCCAUUCCUCUCUCAGGAUAACAAAUUUUCUUUUCUCUCAUCUUCUCAGCUACCAAACUUCCAAAAUUGAAGCGUUUAUAAAAUGAUGUACUUAAUCAGAAAACAAAAGAAAAUUAUGUUGAAGAUAUUCAUUGGAAUUAGUACCGGAAAAUAAAUACACCAAUGAAAUUAAUCCCUCAAGUGAUAGCUUAUUUAAUUAAUACUCCUAGACACAUUGGUUCCUAGAAUUUCUAUCAUCGGAAUUUUGACAGUAACAUAAGAUGUGCAGAUCAUGAAGAAAUGAGUUAUUUCCCCAGAAUUUUAAUAGUGAUGCAUUGCAUGAGCUUGCUCGUUGGGCAACUCAGAAUAGCUUUUUUAGGAUCUCUUGAUGCCUGCAAGCUUCCCCCAAAUUGAGGUGCUGUGAAGCUUGACUUGUCCAGGUGACAUGGAGAUUCAACUACUUAUCCAUGGUUUGUAUAUUAUGUUGCAUUGAUUCAAUAGUUCUUUGGCUUCACGGUUGAGUGAUUUUGCUCAUAAGUUGCAAGCUAAAUGUGCUGAAUUGUAUGGAGUAGGACAAGCUGGUGGGAUUUUAUGUGAUAAAAGAAUUAUACUUAAGCUAAAAGGAAAAUUCUAUAGGACCUUUAUUAGACCAACUAUGUUUUAUGGAGUAUACUGUUGGGCCUUAAAAAAGAAAAAAAGAACAAUGCCUUCAUGUAGCAGAAAUGAGAAUGUUAAAGUGGAUGAGUGGAGUGACUAGAAGAGAUAGGGUCACUAAUGAAAGUUUAGGAAAAAUUAGGUGUAGCACCCAUUGGUGAGAAAAUUAGAGCGAAUAGACUUCGAUGGUUUGGACGCAUACAUUGGAAACUUAGAGACGCGGGUCAAGAGAGGAAGAAUAGUUGUAAUAGAAGGCAAGAGACGGGAAGGGCGACCAAAGAUAACAUGACUUUAAAAAGUUAAAUGUAGUGGGUGAAAUGCCAUGUCAUAGAAAAGAUUGGAUGUGGCCAACUCAUUCCUAUGAGAUUAUGUCAGGGAUGAUGAAGAACACUUUGCUGAUUUAAGUUCACCAAAAUGACAGGGUAUUCUAACAUAUUUUUGUUUUUCCUCUUCUUCCUCUUUUUCCUUUUUUUUUUUUUUUCUAAA